rnacentral:lncRNA from 7 species
GUCUCUUUCUGGGGAUUGCUCCUCUUGGAUUUCUCUUGUGAGCCCAUAAGCCAUGAGGACACUAAUGCUUCAUGUAACUACAGUCUUUGCCAUGCUGAUCGAAGACGACGACUCUAGAAGUUCAGAAGCUUUCUAAGGAGAACACAACCCAGACUGAUGUCGUUCAGACUAUUCUAUUGAAAGGUAUCAGCCCAUUCCAACUGAGUGUGUGUAAAAUGUUAACUGCUAAGGCAGUAUUUUCACUGUUGGGAACCAGAGACUGCAGAGAACAAUGUUCAUUCCGAUACACUAAGAGCAUAUCUUUAAAGAAAAAAAAUCAAUGAAGGAAAAAAGGGAGGUGAAGGCAUAAUGGCUCCUAACUGUUUUUAUGUUUUUGUUUAUAUAGUUCUGUAUUUUCUUUCCAAGUAUAUUCACCAGUCCCACCUCACACUUCAGCUCAGAUUAGAGAACUGGAUUAAAGAUUUAGUUUAAAAUAGACAAUUUCUGUUUUCGAAUUGUUUCUGGCAAAAGUUCAUGUAUUUUAGAAAUAUAUUUGAUAUUUUAGUAAUUCUGUGGAAUAGAACUUAAAAUCAACCAUGAGAUAAUAAACUAAAUAGUAUAUAUUCAUUCUACUCUUUCAAAAACCAGGAUUAUUUCGGCAAGCUAUGCUAAAUUGUAUAGGAACACAUGCUCAGCAAACUGUCUUUUCUCUUUGAAAGGCGACAUUCAGAAAUAAGGUUCCUGACCCCAAAGUCAAACAUGUUUGAAAUGUGUUUUCUUUAAAGCUAUGUAAUUCAUACUCCCUUAGUUUAACUAUCUUUCUGUUAAAACAGCAAGAGUUGAUUAAGCCUUAAUGUUUCCCUCUAUUUAUUUUUCAGAGCACGUGUGAUCCCGUUUAUAUGCACUCACAAUGUUAGCAUUCCUCUUUAUAAAAUACAAGGCAGCUGGGCUUUAAAAUGUGUUAAAAUCUAACUGAGAAAUUAUUCAAUUACUUUGUGAAUCAAAUUUUGAAUCAAAUUUCUUUAGGACUAAAAAACUAAUUAAGGGUAAGUUUUUGUUUGGGGCAUGGAAGUUGAAGAAUUUAACACUCAACUAAUCAGACUGUUCUUUGGGUUUGUGUGUAACUACAAGGAAGUUAAUUAUUUUUGCUUGAAUUCCUAGAUUUCUAAAACAUAACUGUAUAUAUUACGGAUACACUUAAAUAAAGACAAACUCUGUCAU